GCGAAGUAGGUGGCGGCGGGCGCGGGAAGACGGAGGGGGCCGGCGUUGAUCGGAAUGACUGGGCGUAAAGGGUCCGUAGGCGGUGCGGUAAGUCGGGAGUGAAAUCUCUGGGCUUAACUCAGAGGCUGCUUCCGAAACUACCGUGCUAGAGUGCGAGAGAGGCAAGUGGAAUUGCGGGUGUAGCGGUGAAAUGCGUAGAUAUCCGCAGGAACAUCCGAGGCGAAAGCGGCUUGCUGGAUCGCAACUGACGCUGAGGGACGAAAGCUAGGGGAGCAAACAGGAUUAGAUACCCGAGUAGUC
rnacentral:rRNA from 1 species